GUUCAUGCAAGUUUCCCACCAACAACCACCACCAAAACCUAAUCCCAAACUAGUUGGGGUUGGUUAAAUGGAUUUUUUUUCCGCUAUUUAGCUCUGUUAGACAUUAGGUCCACAUCAAUAUCCAAGACUUAUAAAUUCUUUAAUACUAUUUCUCUCUACAUCAUCCUAGGCCUCCCCUUCCCUUUCUUCUUUUAACUCCUUCCCCCAUUAACUUAUCACACUUCUAUAGAAAGGCAUUUGAUUUUUUGCGUUGUACAUGACCAAACCAUCUUAA
rnacentral:misc_RNA from 1 species